rnacentral:rRNA from 1 species
GAUGAACGCUGGCGGCGUGCCUAAUACAUGCAAGUCGAGCGAACAGACGAGGAGCUUGCUCCUCUGACGUUAGCGGCGGACGGGUGAGUAACACGUGGAUAACCUACCUAUAAGACUGGGAUAACUUCGGGAAACCGGAGCUAAUACCGGAUAAUAUAUUGAACCGCAUGGUUCAAUAGUGAAAGACGGUUUUGCUGUCACUUAUAGAUGGAUCUGCGCCGCAUUAGCUAGUUGGUAAGGUAACGGCUUACCAAGGCGACGAUGCGUAGCCGACCUGAGAGGGUGAUCAGCCACACUGGAACUGAGACACGGUCCAGACUCCUACGGGAGGCAGCAGUAGGGAAUCUUCCGCAAUGGGCGAAAGCCUGACGGAGCAACGCCGCGUGAGUGAUGAAGGUCUUCGGAUCGUAAAACUCUGUUAUUAGGGAAGAACAAAUGUGUAAGUAACUAUGCACGUCUUGACGGUACCUAAUCAGAAAGCCACGGCUAACUACGUG